rnacentral:rRNA from 1 species
AUUGAACGCUGGCGGCAGGCCUAACACAUGCAAGUCGAGCGGAGCGGCGGACGGGUGAGCAAUGCCUAGGAAUCUGCCUGGUAGUGGGGGAUAACGUCCGGAAACGGGCGCUAAUACCGAAUACUAUCAGAUGAGCCUAGGUCGGAUUAGCUAGGUGGUGGGGUAAAGGCCUACCAAGGCGACGAUCCGUGACUGGUCCGAGAGGAUGAUCAGUCACCCUAGAACUGAGACACGGACCAGACUCCAACGGGAGGCAGCAGUGGAGAAUAUUAGACAAUGGGCGAAAGCCUGAUCCGACCCUGCCGCGUGUGUGAAGAGGGUCUUCGGAUUGUAAAGCACUUUAGGUUGGGAGGCGUUACCAACAGAAUAAGCACCGGCUAACUUCGUGCCAGCCGCCGCGGUAAUUC